GGUGGGGAUGGUGACGCGAGCGCGAGGAGGCGCUGUGGAGACUGGAGAACGGCGUCAGAGAGCCGAGAUUCCCUGGGGGCAUGCAGUGCUGGAGACAAACUGUCAUUCAUUCUGUCAUAGAUUGUUGGAAGAAUACCUCACCCAAGGUCCAAGACAGAAAAGCUGUGAAAGACAGAAGCGAAAGAAGGGAGCGAAGUGAAGGCACGGAAAGACCUUUCCCAAACAUCACUGGACCUCCACUUGUGUUGUGACCACCCAUACCCAGGUGCUCUCAAAAGCAACUGGCUGUAUUAGAAUCACCUUGACGGUGACUUAAAAAAAUAGUUAUCUCUUGGGGGUGCU